GGUUACUUUUAGUUUCCUUCUCAGACGAACACACACAUAUUGCAAGACUCCCUCUCUCUCGUCUCUCUCUCGAGCUCUCCGUCUCUCUCUCUAUCUCUCUGGACCCCCUCUCUCUCUCGGUCUCGCUCUCUCCACACUCUUUCUCGAACAAAACUCUAUCACGAAGAACAAAUCGAAUAAUUGGUAUUUGAAUACCCAUUUUUGCGGCUUCAAUUAAAAGGUUGUUAUUGUUUAUUUUAUGAUUUUGCAGGUGAUUAGAGCUUCAGAUUGUUGCUUCAACUCUUCUUCUUCGAUUAAUUGGUAAAUCUAUACACAUUUACAUUUGUGCGAUUAAUUAGGGCUUUGUCCUCUUAAAAUAUCUUUUAUUUUUAUUUUUCAGUGGUGAUUAGGGCUUCAAAUUUGGGGCUUCUAUUGUAGAGCUAUCAUUAAGAUAAAUUGGGUGUUUUUUCUGUCACUAAUUCAUAUGUAUAGUGCUAUGAUUAGUUAUGGUAGGCUGCGACUCUGCUUAGUUCUUUUACUUUGGCGCACCUACUGCGAUUCCAAAGGAAGAAUUUUACACAGGGCUCAUGGUUUGCGUGGAAAUAUAUCAUUCUGGUUAUAUUAGGAUAAUAUAGAUGCGUUAAUAAAAACAUGUAAUAAUGUGAAUGUAUUGAUUUUCCAAUCACCUUUAAAACUGAAUGAGGAAUUCCUGUAUAUUUACCAUAAGUCUUUGAGUUCAUUCCUUGGCUGUUUAUGCUCAAAAUUGUAUUAGUUAAUUGUGCUAUAGCAUAACCUGAUUUAUAAGCUAUUGUAUAUCUUAGCUUACUAGGAUUUAAGGAGACGCUCUAUAUCAGAACACUAGUACCUUGAUACGUUUCUAGAUGUGUGUUGAUUUACUAUGUUAUAUUCUUUAUAAACUUCUUACAGUCUAUUGGCUUUCUGGUUGAGUAAUAUAUGGUUUAAAAAGUUAAGAUGUUAUAUGCUUCAUUCUAAGUUUACCUAUUUAUUACAGAAUAAAUGCCCUGUUUUUCUAAGAAGCAUCAAGAAUAUUGUGAUGCUUAAGUUAAUACAGGGGAGCACAUCCUAUACAUUUCGAGGUGACACAUAUCAUGUUAUUAUAUAUUGAUUUACGUAAUAUUGUUUGAUAAAGUUGCUUAAGGAGGUAUAAGCUUAUAUUCUUCUUUAUCUAGUAGGAAAGUCAGUGGUAUCCAUAAGUUUAUAUUUAUCUUUCUAUAUUUUCUUCACUGAGCUAAAGAUGAUAAUGUCUCCUAUAGUUUAUGUUAAAACAUGUCAUAGGUCAGAAGAACAAUUUUGGUCCAAGUCGAGUGAGAAUGAUGAUGAAACUUUAAAUGAAGAGGACAAUCAAAGCAUAGCACUCUGAAUGGGAUCAGCUUGUUUUUGUUUGUUUCCUUUUCUAUUCAGAACUUUAGGCACGGUGACAUAAAACUGAUCUAAGCAUAUUUAUUGUGCUGAAGUGAAGGCCUUCGCUUUUGACGGUAGAUUCACCUAUAUCUGCCGACUCUCUAUAUUUUAUUCUAAUUAGUUGAUGAACUUUAAUUCCACACACAUAUAAACUCUGUAUUAUAUUUGUUUGUUCAGUUAUUAAUGAAGGUUUAUUAGCUAUCAAAAACCUCCAGGGGAGCUCAGUAGUGCAUCUGAUGGUGUCUAGCAGACUAGUAAUCUGGUAGGAGAAAUAUGUUAUAUUUUGCACUUACGGCACCAUUUUUAUCUCUCUUGCAGGUUAUGAAAUAUGUGCCUUAAUGGUAUAAUGGAUGCUCAUCUCCGCUACUUUAAAUAGAGAGACUGAAUCCAGACCACUGGAGGCUCAAGGUGAGACGAUGGCAUGAUGGAGAGGAUGGAGCUUGAACUGUUACUCUUUAUUUUUUAAAUUUCAGUUAAUUGUGAUACUUUAACACUUGUUUUUAUGGUUGUGGAUACACCAUUGUGGGGUGUUUGGAUUUUGAAAUUGUUAAAUUUGGUUACGAGGAUUUUCUUGUUUAGCAACUAUAUGAAUCAUGUUUUAUAUUUAUUAUUAGCACGGGUUGUGAGCCCA